rnacentral:sRNA from 1 species
UGGUUUUGGUCCGCGUCAUCCGAUCUCUU